rnacentral:rRNA from 1 species
GACGAACGCUGGCGGCGUGCCUAACACAUGCAAGUUGAGCGACGAACCAGUGCUUGCCCUGUGUCAAAGCAGCGAACGGGUGAGUAACACGGGGGUAACCCACCCCCAUAACCUGCAUAACCCGAGAAAACUCGGGCCAAAACCUGAUGCCCCCACUGGCCUACGGUUCAGUGCGGAAAGGAAUCUUCCGUCUCCGUAUCGGAUGGGGCCCGCGCCCCAUUAGUUUGUUGGUGAGGUAACGGCUCACCAAGACCGCGAUGGGUAGCUGGUCUGAGAGGACGAUCAGCCACACUGGGACUGAGACACGGCCCAGACUCCUACGGGAGGCAGCAGUGGGGAAUCUUGCGCAAUGCGCGAAAGCGUGACGCAGCAACGCCGCGUGGGGGAAGAAGGCCUUCGGGUUGUAAACCCCUUUCAGGAGGGACGAAGGUUCGGCGGUGAAUAGCCGUCCGGACUGACGGUACCUCCACAAGAAGCCCCGGCUAACUACGUG